rnacentral:lncRNA from 1 species
AAUGUUGCUUUCUCUAAAUUUGCAAAAAUUCCUAUCCCACGUAGAGAAGUCUCAUGGAGUGACUGAAAAGAUCUUUAUCUAUGUUAGGAACUUGACAGCUGAAAUAACAGAAUGUAAAUCCAAAUUCUUCUAGCAUGAAACUCAUGACACUUUUAAGUCCUCAUUUCUCUCCUUCUGCUUAAACUGAGCUCUACUAGGAAAAGCCCCUGGGGAACAUCGGUUCCUGACUUAUUUGGCUUAGUUUGAAAACUGCCAGAUGCCACCCAGGAUACUGCAUUAGGAUCCUGCCAUAAAACUUCACUUUGUGCUGACUCAAUUUCAAAUGAGCCAUGAAGUAUUACAUUCUUGAGAAGUGGAAGAACUUUCACUGGCUUUUCGGCAGCACAUCAGCUGAAGUCAUAGAAGAAACAGCAAAAUAGGUCAUAAUGGAUUCGGGGCUGUGUUUAUAACCUGGACAACAACUGUCACUUUGUGUUUGGGGAAUUGUUCCAGAAUACGAAAACUGAAUGUUAAGGUGUUGAACUGUGAGAGGUUGUCAUAUGAAUAGGCAAGUGAUUUUCUGACCAGAGCACAAAGAAGCUGUGACCAACUAAGACAGCCCUCGUGCCUCACCACGAAUAGAGUUGUUUAAUUGGUGACUGGAUGUUCAAUUGUCCUGAGAUUAGUGACUUCAACAUGAAUUUUGGGGAACAUGUUCAGCACAUAACAUAGAUGAAAGAAGAGUGUCAUGAGCCAAGGAAUGUAGGUGGCCCGAAGAAGCUGGAGAAGGCAAGGAAAUGGAUUUUUCCCUAGAGCCUCCAGAAGGGAAAGCAGCUCUGAUGAUGCCUUAGUUUUAACCCAGUGAAAACCAUGUCAAAUUUCUAACCUACAGAACUAUUAGAAAAUCAAUUUAUGUUGUUUUAAGCCACUAAAUUUGAGAUUUUUUUGUCAUGUUAGUAACAGAAAGCUAAUGGAAUGUCAAAACUUAAGGACCAAAUAAAUACAUCUUGAGACCCUACUCUGUAUCCAUCUAUUAUUAUGGGCAGUAAUCUACCUCAAAAGGCUAGUGUCCAUUUCCACUUGUUCCAUAAAAAACACCCCAAAACACAGUGGCUGAAAAUAUCACUCAUUUAUUUUGGGUCAAAUGUCUUAGUGAGCUGGGAUUAGACUGCUCAAGGGAAGGUAGUUUUGGGGGCUGGUGAGGCUCUACUUCUCCUUACAGGUCUGUGAGUUAGCUGAGGUGGCUUUGCUCCACACAUAUCCUUAAUCUAGGACCAGCUAGCUGCCAGACGUGUUCUUAUCAUAAUGACAGAGACUCAAGAGAACAAGCCUAUAUACCUCUUAAAGUCAAAUCUUAGACUGAAGUACUGUCACUUCCAACCACAUGCCUUUGGCCAAAUAUUGUCACAUGGCCAAGUCCAAAAUCAAAGGGCAGAGAAAUAUACUCUGCUCAUAAUGACACCCAUAAGAACAUGUCAAGAACAUGGAUGCAGAGAGAGGUGAGGAUCUGGAGUCAUAAUGCAUUCUACCAGGGAUGCUGGUCCAGUUGCAGAGAUAACUAAUAAAUAUGAGACAACAAAUGUGACUUGUAUAAUAGAGGGUGAAAGUACUGAUGUACUAGGAAGUAUAAACUAAAAAAGUAUUAUCAUAUUGCCUGUUCUUUUGCUUAUAUCUAAAAUGUAUCUGCUCUGUCUUGCACAUAUAUGGAAAAACAUUUCACCAUGUUCAUAUUAAAAAAAUGGGGAAUAUAACAAGGAAUUUAGUGGUCUUAAAUUGAAAUUGAAUUUAAUACUUGUUUUCAUAAGAGAUCCCAAAUAUUCUUAAAACCAACAAAUAAUAAUCAUACGAAAUAUCUGAAGUUUUGUUUGAAUGGAAGAGAAUAAGCUUGGAAAAUUCUGACUCAAAAUAUUAAAUUACUUUCUGUAGUAAAUUGCAAAGUGGCCACAAAAUUAUCCCACCCUUAUUUGCAUGCUCCUUUGCAAUAUGACUUUGCAGCUCCUCCAAUCAGAAAAAUUGAGCCUUUUUUUCCACCUCUAAAAUCUGGGUAUGGCCGUGUGAUUUGCCUUAGCCCUGGGACAUUAGCAAACGUAAAGCAAUUAGCUUUAAAAGCUCUUGAACAUUGGGCCUGUUUCUUUCUUGCUGUGGGACCCCUUCCACAACGAGGUGAACAAGCAUGGGCUGUCCUCCUAGAGGUAGCUGGAAAACCAUGUCAAGAGAAUUAAUGGCCAUUCCAGGUGUCCAGUUGUUCCAUCUGAGGGUGCAGACAUACAAGUGAGGUGAUCCUAGACUACUGAGCCCCAGCCAAGCUUGUCCAAACCAGAAGAACCAAUAAGCAACCCAUAGAAGCAUAAGGAAUGAUAAAUGUUUGUCCCAUUAAGACACUAAAUGUUGGGAUAGUUUGUUAUUCAAAAACUGCUUACUGGUCAACCCCCCUGGCAAGUGAGGUCUUGUUGCUGACAAGUGUAAAAAGACCCAGAAUUCAAACCCAAAACAUUUCAGUCCCAACCUGGGGGACUGAGAGCUCUUAAAAGGUGGCAGAAUUCAUGUGCACAGCUCUGUAAUACACAUGUACACCAUGCAUUGUCUAUAAUAAUAUUGACAAUGGCAAUAUUAAUCAUAGGUAUCACACUCUUGCUAUGUAUCUAGAAGUGUAUUAAUGGUGUGCCUUGAUUAUUUCGUUUAACCCUAAGCACAAACCUAGGUGGUGGGUCUUAUUACCUAUUUUACAGAUGAGGAAAUUCUCAGAGGUAGAAACUUGUCUUGUGUCACCAACCAGCCACCUGACACUUGAGCACACACUCUUAAUAAAUAUCCCUCACUGAGUAAAAAAAUGCCUUGUGCAUAAAGAUACUAAUAUUUCUCAAAUGUGCAUAGAUUGCAUUGUGAUGCAUAAAAUAUAAAGAUAUUUAAUGAUACUCCUGGUUGUAAAAUAGCAUUUAAACGCUGUUUUAUUUUUACAUUAACAUGGCAUUAUUAUAUUCAAAUAACUGUCAGAUCAAUUUAUCUAUUUUUCCUUACCUAUACACAGAGCCAGAUAACUGAGAUUCACUAAUUAAUAUAUUUAUAUAUUUCUUUAACAGAAAAUUAUUAAUCCUCUCCUAUGCAAAAUUUUCUUUAAGAAAUAGAUAUUUUUGUAAAUUUUGAAUUUCCUCUUCCCCCUAA